AAAAGGAUUAACAAAAUUGAUGAAGUGUAGAAGCUAAUACUAUGGCGACAACCUUCUCCGGCCAACAUGUCCGGCAAAUUCCAGCCAUCACCACAGCCCUGCGUCGGCCGGCGGCAUUCCCCAAGCAGUCAUCACUAUCAAUCUCGAAACGGGUUAGCCCAUUGAAGUGCGUUAUGCAGAGAAGCUUUGUGGAACAAAGCGUGCCCAAAGGCGGUGCGGCCUCCAACUUGAAAGAGCUAAUCGAUUUCCUCUACGCCGACCUACCCCAUCUUUUCGAUGAGCAGGGAAUCGACCGCUCGAUGUACGAUUCCCGAGUUCGAUUUCGCGAUCCCAUCACGAAGCACGACACCAUCGAUGGGUAUCUGUUCAACAUCCGCCUCCUCAAGCUCCUCUUCUCCCCGCAGUUCCAGCUCCAUCGCGUGUGGCAGACAGGGCCAUUUGAGCUAACAACGAGGUGGACAAUGGUGAUGAAGUUUGUGCUUAUACCAUGGAAGCCGGAGUUGGUUUUCACUGGCGUGUCUAUCAUGGGUGUAAACCCUGAGAAUAUGAAGUUUUGCAGCCACGUGGAUCUAUGGGAUUCAAUUGAGAACAAUGAGUACUUCUCUUUGGAAGGUGUAGUGGAUGUUGCAAGGCAGCUGCGGUUUUAUAAGACUCCAGACUUGGAAACACCAAAUUACGAGAUCCUGAAAAGAACUGCCCAGUAUGAGGUUAGGAAGUAUGCAUCCUUCCUUGUGGCUGAGACUAAAGGAGAUAAGCUUUCAGGCUCAUCUGGAUUUAAUGAUGUUGCAGGGUACAUAUUUGGCAAGAAUUCCACAAUGGAAAAGAUUCCCAUGACCACCCCUGUCUUUACACAGGCUAAUGACGCUGAACUGUCGGAAGUAUCAAUCCAGAUAGUUCUCCCCAUGGAUAAAGAAUUAAGCAACUUACCUGAACCUAGUUUAGAAACAAUCAGCUUGAGAAAGGUAGGAGGCAUUGCUGCAGCCAUAAAGUUCAGUGGCAGGCCAGCUGAGGAUGUAGUUAGACAAAAAGAAAAAGAACUACGGUCUGCUCUGAUUCAAUGUGGUUUAAAUCCUAUCCGGGGUUGCGUGCUUGCUCGUUACAAUGAUCCUGGGCGGACAUGGAGCUUCAUCAUGAGAAAUGAGGUCUUGAUAUGGCUCAAGGAGUUCAGCCUAGAUUAGUAUUGUUUCCAAUUUGUAUACGUCAUUCAAAUGCACAGUACUUUCCAACAGCUACAGGAAUGAAAUAUUUGUUACACCGCCUAUGAUCAGCUCAAGGGCUCAGAUGGCAAAACCUUAAAGGUAAUCAAAGACAAGUACAAGUAGGGUGUGGGAAAGGAGCUUUUAUUCUGUACAGAGACCGGACGGGAGAACCGUCCAGUUAAGCACUGGGUACCCAACGAUAUCCAGCGAUAUCCAGCGGUACUGAGUGCCGGUACCGAGCUGGAUACCCACCAAAUUAGUUUUUAUAUUAUUAUAUGUUCAAAAUAUUUUUAUUGGAAGUUAAGUACACAAAAUAUAUCAUAAUAUAUAGUGUUAUACAUGUCAAAUUAGUACUCAUUGAUAAAGCAUGUUGCAGUUGCCCAAAGAUUACCUUCGGAGCUAUAAGUCAAUUUGAGUCAUGUAUAGUAAGUUGUUGACCGUGAA